rnacentral:lncRNA from 1 species
GAGAACUUCCAAUGAUUUUCAGACAUAAAGGUACAGGUGGUAACAGACUUCAAAAAGUAAUUCUGUACCUGCUCUGUUGAUUACCAAUAUUCCUUAUUCCCAGAUACACCUGGAAGUAAAAAGGAUUUUAAUGCAGCCCUCCAUAAAAUAGAAACCUUUUUUCCUUUUGUCUGUAAAAUCCAAGAGGUCAUAAAAAAAUACCUGACAUGCAGCACCCAAUCAGGAUAGAAAAAUGUACUAAUUUACAUUUUACAGAACUCAUAAACAGAUUUAUAUGUGGGCCAUGAGAUGUGGGCUGGACCUGCAGUCCUUCCUGCUUUGUGAGGCAGAGAUCAAGAUUCUUCUGCUGUAUGGAGAGAACGUAAUUUUCAGAGCAGAGUUUCUCUUAUGAAAGUAGAGCAUAUCUGACGCAGGUAAGCACUCCCCCUCUGUUUUCUCCGCCCUCUUUUCUAAUGAGUUUCCUGCUUUUGUGGGACAGACCUGGAAGAGCUGGGAAAGUGUAGAAGGUAUGUGAUCGUCCAGAAGUUUUUUCAGAGUCAGAACCUGGAAAGCUGAGGUUCUACUUUCCCACGCAAGACUAGCACAACAGGAUCUCCCUGUGGUUUUGUGCCUACCCAUAUUCACUAUUUUCCAGCUUUUACUUUCAAAAUAAAUCUUCCUCGUCUCCCUGAAAGAAGACGCAAAAGGAGGAAGGGAAAGUUUUUACUGGUGUCCUGCCCUCAGAUCAGAAGGGGAAGAAGCAGGGACAGAAGAGCUUGCAUGAAUCUCCUUGUGAUGAAGACAGAAGUUAAAACAUGACUGUUCCUACCUACCAAAGCCUCAUUCUGAUGUCUGUCCCCUUAACUGGUUAUCCAUUCUCAAAUGUCUGCUACCACCACCCAUACUACCAUGUGGUUAGAGUCACACUGGAAGAACAUCCGCCAAGCCUUGUUGCUUCUUUUCACUGCUGCUCUUCUCAUUGGGGUCACCAUGCUAGCCAUUUCAUCCAACAUUAACCCAAUAGGCUACUUCUUCCUAGGGGUAGGUGGAGUAUGCCUGAUUGGUUAUUUGCUGAGCGUGUUUGUUGAGUGUUACUUGAAGAAUCGACACCGACAUGACACAAAUGAGGUACCUCCAAACAGACAAAGCCAAGCAGGGGUGAAUGCUGCCUAUGAAGCACCUACAUACGAGGAGGUGAUGACUAUGUCAGUUCCAGCGAUAUGGACAAUUGCAUCCAAUCCAGGCUCAGUGCCCUCACCACUGAGUGAACCCCCCCCUUACAAUGUAGCUAUUGAAUCACCUGCCCAGGAAGAGACUGUGAUGGAAACCCUCAGGGUCUCAGUGGCACCAGACACGAGGAGCACCUCUGAGACAGAUACAGGCUCCAGGAUGCACUUGCAGCUGGCGCUGCCCCCAAGAUUGCGAAUUACUUCAGACAUCCAUGAAGUGAAAGGUACUACAGACAGGGUUGAGCCAUUGGAGCCACUCACUCCACCACCUGCUUAUGAGAUUGCCAUCAACGAUGAGGUCUUUGAAGAUGUCUUCCAGCCCUCCACAGUAUGAUUAAUUCCACCUUCCAUGAAGGCAGGACCAAACCCCCACCAGGCUGAACCUCAUGGUUCUCCUGGAGGGAAGGUGAAAGAGCUGAUUUUUUUCAUGCCUCAAAUGGGUGAAGUUUGUCUUAUCAUGCCGUGAAACAGAGCUGAACUACAGACAUAGUAUCUACAUUCACUACAAACUUUGCACAAUUUACAUAUAUACAGUGCAAUACCAUGAUGCUUCAUCUUGGCACAAAAUAAGCAAAGUCACUGAAGAGAAAAUUGCGUGACAUACAGCAACAACCGAAACUGGAGAUAUAUCUUUAUGGGGGAGAAGAGCGAAUCAUAAGGAAAGACAAGCUGCCUUGGAAAGGGGAGGAACAGAAACAGCUCUGAGUAGUUUCUGCCUGUGCAUUACUGUUUGCCUGUGCAAACAGUAACACUGAGAGUUUUGUGAUAAUCAACCGCCCUAACUUUCCUAUUUGGAGACUGAGACUGCAGUUCCCUGAUUAUAAAAGUUUUGGCAGCAACACAAAUUUCUGAUCUGUGCUGCUUGUUGCUACGCCUCUGCUGCACUCACACCACAUAGUUGUGCUAACAUUGAGAGGAGGGUGGCUGCAUACAUUUGGAAGCUGGCACUACCUAAUACCUAUCACUUUGCUGCCAACCAGCUCGAGGUUGAAAACCUCACAGCAGUUGUGGCAUUAUGAAAUGACGUGUUAUUUUUAAUGUUCUCAUCCUACACUGCCUGCAGGUGAUGAACAUAAGGAAGACACCACCAUUUUUUAUUCCAGUGAGAGAGGUCAACAAUGGAACACAUAUACAUACCCUCUGCCUGGAGGGUUGGGCCGAGAAGAACCUCAUUAAGUUCAGCAAGGGCAAGCACAGGGUCCUGCACCUAGGAAGGAAUAACCCCAAGCACCAGUACAGGCUGGGGGCUGACCUGCUGGAGUGCAGCUCUGCAGACAGGGACCUGGGAGUCCUGGUGGACAGCAGGCUGACCACGAGCCAGCAAUGUCCCCUGGUGGCCAAAAAGGAUCCUGGGCUGUAUUCGGAAGAGUGUUGCCAGCAGGUCAAGGGAGGUGAUCCUAACCCCUCUACUCAGUCCUGGUGAGGCCACACCUGGAGUAUUGAGUCCAGUUUUGCUCUCCCCAGAACAAGAGGGACAUAGAACUACUGGAGUGAGUCCAGAAGAGGACUACGAAUAUGCUUAGAGGACUGAAGCACCUGUCGUACGAGGACACUGAAAGAACUGGGCCUGUUUAGCCUGGAAAACAGAAGACUGAGGGGAGACCUCAGCAAUGUAUAUUUAUCUGAGGGGAGGGUGUCGAGAGGAUGGAGCCAGCAUCUUUUCAGUUUUGCCCAGCGACAGGACAAGAGGCAAUGGGCACAAACUGAAGCAUAGGAGGUUCUGGCUCAAUAUGAGAUGGCAGUUCUUUAUUGUGAGGGUGACAGAGCACCGGAACAGGUUUCCCAGAGAAGCUGUGGAGCCUUCUUCUCUGCUGGAGAUAUUCAAAACCCACCUGGAUGCCAUCCUGUGCAAUGUUCCUUAGGUGAUUCUGCUUGGCAAGGGGUUGGACUAGAUGAUCUUAAGAGGUCCCUUCCAACCUCAUCCAUUCUGUGAUUCUGUCGACCACCAGUUUUGACAGCUGUACAGGAGGGCUUAUUACUCUGUUAUAGUACAGGCCCAAAGAGAUCACUUGAGAUAUUUUGUCAUCACAACAAAUGUUUGUGUAGAAAGGUCAAUACUCAAAGUUCACCAUAACCCCAUGCAUAGGCAUUUCUCUCUGGUACCUGGAGAGGGGCAGUCUGUCUGUCAAGGCUGUGACUGUAGCAGAGAGCACCUGAGUCACAAAGGUGGUCAGGUGCUCUCUGGUGGUCUUCAUCUUGACAGUUCUGGUUUGGAGCCAGGUUCUAGCUUUCAUCAAUUAGUGAUGCUGUUCAGUCUUUUAAAAUGGGCAAGUUAAACUGUUAGACCCUGUUAAAGUAGUUUGCAGUGAGCAAAGAGACACUCAAGUCCGUGAAUGUCCAAAUUAAAAGACAAACAAGAAAAAACAAACAUGGUCAUCCAGAUCUCCUUAUGACUGCAGGCAGCAAUCAUCACAGCAUUGUUUCAUAUGUGUACAUCAUUUUUAACUCAUAUCAUAGGCUAAAAGCAAGUAAAUUAUUUUUUAUUGUUUGAUUCUUUACAGAUGAAAGAACACAUUUUGUAUGUUGUUUAUUAAUAAACAAGACUACAUAAAAAACACCUAGUGGUAUUGUUCACUUUUCUUCUCAAAACAUGUAUUUCACAAAGCCAUGAUUUAUACCUGUUUACAUUAUGCUUUUUUGAUAAAGUUAGCUUAGAAAAAAAAGUGAUGAGUUCAAUUUCUAAGUGUACAUCUGAAUCUCUUUAUUACCAUUACUGAUGAAUCAGCUAUGACACCUGUCAUAAAAGCAAUAUGAGACAAGUUUGCUGAGGAUUUUUUUUAAAAAUCAAUCAUUUUCUGCAUGUUUCAGAAGGUGUCCUCUGCUUCCUGCACCUGCAAAAGAAUAAACCACAAUAAACAACAAUACAGGUGUAUAACACGGGAAUAGUUAUGCCUAAGGUAGGCAGCCAGGACUUCUCUCAGUGUCAGGAAGAAAUUCAGUUGACCAGCACAGAUAGAUAGCCAAAAGAAAGACAAGAAGAAAGCCACCAGUUAUGAACACCAGGGUUUUGUUUUCUUUAUCUCUUUCAAGUAUCGUCUGUACGGCCUGCGUGCUACUUUUCUUCCUUGUUUUCUUACUCAACGCUAAUUAAGCCCUUCGCUUUUACUUCUGCUGCAACGCCUUCCAUUAACCCGAUCUUGCUCCGACUCGGGCUUCUCUGCCCCCACCAGGCGCUCUGGGAGCCCGNNNNNNNNNNGCUUAUUACUCUGUUAUAGUACAGGCCCAAAGAGAUCACUUGAGAUAUUUUGUCAUCACAACAAAUGUUUGUGUAGAAAGGUCAAUACUCAAAGUUCACCAUAACCCCAUGCAUAGGCAUUUCUCUCUGGUACCUGGAGAGGGGCAGUCUGUCUGUCAAGGCUGUGACUGUAGCAGAGAGCACCUGAGUCACAAAGGUGGUCAGGUGCUCUCUGGUGGUCUUCAUCUUGACAGUUCUGGUUUGGAGCCAGGUUCUAGCUUUCAUCAAUUAGUGAUGCUGUUCAGUCUUUUAAAAUGGGCAAGUUAAACUGUUAGACCCUGUUAAAGUAGUUUGCAGUGAGCAAAGAGACACUCAAGUCCGUGAAUGUCCAAAUUAAAAGACAAACAAGAAAAAACAAACAUGGUCAUCCAGAUCUCCUUAUGACUGCAGGCAGCAAUCAUCACAGCAUUGUUUCAUAUAUGUACAUAAUUUUUAACUCAUAUCAUAGGCUAAAAGCAAGUAAAUUAUUUUUUAUUGUUUGAUUCUUUACAGAUGAAAGAACACAUUUUGUAUGUUGUUUAUUAAUAAACAAGACUACAUAAAAAACACCUAGUGGCAUUGUUCACUUUUCUUCUCAAAACAUGUAUUUCACAAAGCCAUGAUUUAUACCUGUUUACAUUAUGCUUUUUUGAUAAAGUUAGCUUAGAAAAAAAAGUGAUGAGUUCAAUUUCUAAGUGUACAUCUGAAUCUCUUUAUUACCAUUACUGAUGAAUCAGCUAUGACACCUGUCAUAAAAGCAAUAUGAGACAAGUUUGCUGAGGAUUUUUUUUAAAAAUCAAUCAUUUUCUGCAUGUUUCAGAAGGUGUCCUCUGCUUCCUGCACCUGCAAAAGAAUAAACCACAAUAAACAACAAUACAGGUGUAUAACACGGGAAUAGUUAUGCCUAAGGUAGGCAGCCAGGACUUCUCUCAGUGUCAGGAAGAAAUUCAGUUGACCAGCACAGAUUAAAAAAAACAGACAAAAGAAAGACAAAAAGAAAGCCACCAGUUAUGAACACCAGGGUUUUGUUUUCUUUAUCUCUUUCAAGUAUCGUCUGUACGGCCUGCGUGCUACUUUUCAUCCCUUUUUACUUACUCAACGCUAAUUAAGCCCUUCGCUUUUACUUCUGCAGCAACGCAUUAAUAACAAAAGCGCUAAAAUUAAAAAUAAAUAAAAAGAAGGAUCACAGAACUGGUAUGCUUGCAGAGAAAGCACACCCGUUAAUCCCGAUCUGCUCGCAGAACCCCUUCCGUUAACCCGAUCUUGCUCCNNNNNNNNNNGCUAAUUAAGCCCUUCGCUUUUACUUCUGCUGCAACGCCUUCCAUUAACCCGAUCUUGCUCCGACUCGGGCUUCUCUGCCCCCACCAGGCGCUCUGGGAGCCCGUUCCCCAGGGGCCAAUUUCACCACAGCCCUUCCCGCGCUGCGGCCAGCACGCACGCGCCGGCCCGUGAGGGCGCGCCAGCCCGCGCACGCGCACAGCGCACAGCGAGGCGCAGGGGCCCGGCGGGCGGGCGCAUGCGCAGGCGCCGUGACUCGGUGCCGUUUGAAUCUCUGGGCCCGCGGCGUGCUCGCUGCCGGGAGCGCGGGAAGGCGGGAGCGCGCGCGCUGCGCGGCCUCGGAAUCCGGCGGUGGGAGGGGGAGCGCGCAGCUCCCCGGCAGGGCCCGUCGGGGCGGGUGCUGGAGGCCUCUUCCGCCGCGUGUGGAGCGGGUCCUGCCCGGGGAGGCCCC